GGACGAACGCUGGCGGCGUGCCUAACACAUGCAAGUCGAGCGGAGAGGAAGGAGCUUGCUCCUGAAUCUUAGCGGCGGACGGGUGAGUAACGCGUGAGCAACCUGCCUUGAACUGGGGGAUAACGCAUCGAAAGAUGUGCUAAUACCGCGUAAGACCACAGUACCGCAUGGUACAGGGGUCAAAGGAGCAAUCCGGUUUAAGAUGGGCUCGCGUCCGAUUAGCUAGUUGGUGAGAUAACAGCCCACCAAGGCAACGAUCGGUAGCCGACCUGAGAGGGUGAUCGGCCACAUUGGAACUGAGACACGGUCCAGACUCCUACGGGAGGCAGCAGUGGGGAAUAUUGGGCAAUGGGCGAAAGCCUGACCCAGCAACGCCGCGUGAGGGAAGAAGGGUUUCGGCUCGUAAACCUCUGUCCUAUGGGACGAAGAAGUGACGGUACCAUAGGAGGAAGCCCCGGCUAACUACGUG
rnacentral:rRNA from 1 species